CCGAACCAAAUCCGCGUCGAUUCGGCUUGAGUUUUGCUCCUCGCUCACUACCACCCUCAUAUAAAUAUUCCCCAUGCCUGACUCGUCCUAUUUUUGCAAAAAAAUUGAUCUACCGUAACCUAGAGGACUUUGGCCAUCUCGCCGGAGUUUCAGCCAUCCAGGAGCUCUUCGUCGGGCGUUUCCGUCGCCGUCCAACCUUCCCCUACGAACCCUGCAUCCUCCCGUCACCUCGCCUUCGCCGAGGGACCACCUGACGCCGCUGGACCACCGCACCUUCGCCGGCCGCAUAGGAGUCCGCCCGUCAUCACGCCAUCGCCGGAGUCCGCAGCUACGCCGUGGAGCCCCGCCGCUCAUAGAACCCCGUCGCCACCCCCUGCGUCCGACCGCCACCAGAGCACCGCCGCCCACGCCUGAGACCAUCGCCGUUUCACCUGCUCACGGUGAGCACGCAUGCAC
rnacentral:lncRNA from 1 species